GACGAACGCUGGCGGCUUGCUUAACACAUGCAAGUCGAACGCUGAAGCUCAGCUUUUGUUGGGUGGAUGAGUGGCGAACGGGUGAGUAACACGUGAGUAACCUGCCUCCUUCUUUGGGAUAACGCCCGGAAACGGGUGCUAAUACUGGAUAUUCACUGGUCUUCGCAUGGGGGUUGGUGGAAAGGGUUUUUCUGGUGGGGGAUGGGCUCGCGGCCUAUCAGCUUGUUGGUGGGGUGAUGGCCUACCAAGGCUUUGACGGGUAGCCGGCCUGAGAGGGUGACCGGUCACAUUGGGACUGAGAUACGGCCCAGACUCCUACGGGAGGCAGCAGUGGGGAAUAUUGCACAAUGGGCGCAAGCCUGAUGCAGCGACGCCGCGUGAGGGAUGGAGGCCUUCGGGUUGUGAACCUCUUUCGCUCAUGGUCAAGCCGCAACAAUGGUUGUGGUGAGGGUAGUGGGUAAAGAAGCGCCGGCUAACUACGUG
rnacentral:rRNA from 1 species